rnacentral:rRNA from 1 species
CCCUUAGAUGUUCGGGGCCGCACGCGCGCUACACUGAAGGAAUCAGCACGUCUUUCUCCUUGUCCGAAAGGACUGGGUAACCCGCUGAACCUCCUUCGUGCUAGGGAUUGGGGCUUGUAAUUCUUCCCCAUGAACGAGGAAUUCCCAGUAAGCGCAAGUCAUCAGCUUGUGUUGAUUACGUCCCUGCCCUUUGUACACACCGCCCGUCGCUACUACCGAUUGAAUGGUUUAGUGAGACCCUCGGAUUCGUCCCAGCACAGUGGGUUUCUGCUGAGCUGGUGCGCGGAGAAGACGGUCGAACUUGAUCAUUUAGAGGAAGUAAAAGUCGUAACA